CUGGGGUGCUGCUUACUCCCGGAGGCUGUCUGAGCAUCGGCCCCCCUGCCAAUCCAGGCCUUGCUGUGUCCAGUUGUUCAGUUCUCAAGCCCUGGGUCUGUGAAGGUCCAGAAGCUCCCCUGAUCCUCUGUCCACUGGAUCCUGGGUGGAGGCAGUGGAAUGGCAGCUGCUACUUCUGGGAUGCCUCACUGGUCCACACAUGGCAGGAGGCCCUGCAGGUGUGCCGGAGGUUCAGACGCACGGAGUUGCUGUACCUCAACUCCACCCAGGAGAAGGACUGGAUCUGUUCAAAUUUCCAGGGCCCUUUCUGGACAGGCCUUAAUGACCAGACACACGAAUCUGUAUUUCAGUGGACCACGCAAGAUCCCAUCAGCAGGCAACUCACAGAGCACCUGAGAGAUGACCUGGCUGAUGGUGGCCAGAAGGAUUGCGUGUGGCUGGACACAGGGACUGGACUUCUGAGGGAUGCACGCUGUGAGGAGAGGAAGCCAUUCAUCUGCAAGUGCA